ensembl:lncRNA novel transcript
ACUUCAUAGUUACCAGAACACAAUAAAAGGAACUGCUGGGCAACACUCAAGCAUGGAAGAAAGAAUGAGAAAGGAACCAGAAUCACUUCCCUCUCUUUAAGGUGAAUGGUUCCAGACACUCAUGAUUGCAAAAUAAAUAUUAAAAUCCCUUCAUAAAAGUCAGUUGUGCACCUGGACUCAGGGUUACCAUGGAGAUUCAAGGCAGCAAUCUCACUGACACUGGAUCCGUGCCUUCUCUCACCCCAAAGUUACCUAUGAGGAAUUCCUGAGUUUUACUGUGGUUCAUUUAACAUCCGGAGUUCAGAGACAUGAAUACUUGAGCAGGCCGGGGCUUCGUGAGAACUAAAGCAAUGUUAGAAGAGCCCGCAUGACUGCCUUAAUGAGGAAGACUCUGCUGGAACUGGGGUCAGGGUCUCCAGGAAAUUCCAGUCCAUCAUCUCCCUUGGUGAGCAAAAGAAGCCACUGGUGGUCCUUGCAAGUAGAAGUGCAAUGAAAACAGGAUUAUGGCGAUGGAUGACAGUGUGAGAGAGAAAAGAAUUAUCACCUUCUUCCCCUUUCCCAAAUAAUUCAUUCUCUAAGUUCAGCAGUCCAACAAGAAUGGCUUCUCAUGCCAGAGUAGACUCUUCUUGUAUUUAGGACG